CGUCAUUUUCCUUUCCUUUCUUCUUCUGUAAUAACAGGUCCCUUCUUCCACCACUUCACUGCCUCCAUCUCCACCAAACCCACCAGAAUUUCUUCAAUAAAAAAAAAAUUACGCUCCAUAUAUUCAUCCAUUAAAUGGACAAGAGGGGUUGCUCUGAUGGUAAGCAACCUCCACUUCCAACCAAGAGGUUGUAAGUUCGAGUCACCCCAAGAGCAAGGUGGGGAGUUCUAGGAGGGAAGAUGACGAUGGUCUAUUGGAAACAGCCUCUCUAUUUCAUGGUAGAGGUAAGGUUGCGUACACACUACCCUUCCCACACCCCACUAGUAAAAUUAUAUUGGAUUAUUGUUGUUGUAUAUUCAUCCGUUAAAUCACACCCACCACCACUUUGAUUGCCACAUCGAUAUUUUUUUUUAAAAAAAGCUUAGAAAACUUCAACAAAAAAAACAGCAUAAUAGAAAUCAUCUCCGGUACAUUUUUCUCCUUCAAAACUCUUUCGUUUCUUCCUAAGAGUCAUCUCCAGUACAUUUUUCUCUUAUUUUCUUUUUCUUUUUCUUCUUCUUAUUUUUCGCCGGAAACAAUGGUGAUUCCGGUGACACUUUAAACAAUGGAGAUAUUUAAUAUAAAAAAGAAGAUGAAGAAAUAGGUGGGGAGAUUGGAUGUAACGAGAAAAAGAAGAAGCCAUAAAUAAAAAAAUUUGAAAUUAAAAAACCAAAUACAAGAACUAAUCAGCUGGGGGAAGAGAUAGCUAGGGAGUGCGGGGAUGAUGAAGGAGGCUUGGUGGCGUGGGGUGGGGGUUGGGGAUAAAGAAAAGGAAAAAAUAAUGGAGAGAAAAACUAAAUAAUAAAUGAAAAAGAUAUUAUGCGGUUUAUAAAACACAUGUCAAAAUAUGAUUGGUUCGUGUGGUAUUUAUUAUAUUUCAAAUAAAGACAUAGGACCUACAAAGUAUGAGGGUGUUAGAUGCGGAUUCAAAAUUUAAAUUUUAUGAGUUCAAUAUUUAAAGUUCUUAGUAUUGAACCCAUUAAAUUUUUUAAACUAUAGGUUCAAUCUACUAUUUAUUGUAAUUUUAGUGAAUUUUUACACAUUAAUUUAUAUUACGCGUCAAAAGAUAUGGAUUCAAUUGGACCCGUCACUAAAGUGCUACAUCCGUCCCUGGAGGGUGUAACUGGUAAAUUGGAACAACCCUAACGGGUAACUAUGUAUUAUCCUAUUACAAAUCAAACAAAACAACUUGGGAAACACAUUUAUUAGUUGAAACACAUAUAUUUUCUCUCACUAUAAUGGCAUCUUUGUAUCUCCUCAAUAUCUCCUCAAGUAAUUGUCUUCUCUCUCUAUGUUUGUGUUUCUAGCUAAGAAGAGAGAGAAAAAAGUUGAGAAUAAUAGUAAGUACUAACUGAUGUGAGGCGGAUUUUCUCAGAGAUAGGCUGUGUAGCCAUUUACCCUCGACUGCUGAAGGAAAUUUCAUUGAAGCCAGUAGAAAGAAUACAGCCAUACAGAACUUUUACGUAUAUAGAACUUUUAUGUUUUUUUAGUGUAAUUUAACUUUUAUAGAGGUUAUUUCCUUUGCUUUUUGGAUUAUCAGAUCAUAUUAGUUACAAAUAAUUAUCUAUUAUUGUGAGUAAUUUAACUUAAUGGUGUAAAACUAUUAACAUAAUUAUCAGUGUACGACAAUUAAACUUUUCUAUUUACAAGUUUCACCAAAGUUAUCUAUUCUAACCCAUGUAAUUAAGAAUAUAGUACAAUUGGAUGGUAAAAGUCACAUUUCUCCGCUCUUAAUUAACGGUCUUCAUUUCAAGUUUUAAAAUUGAAGUCUUUUAUGGGAGGAUGCUUUACAACCUGUAAUAGGCCUUCUCCGCAUGAGUCCAAAUUAGUCGAGCUAUGUAUUUUAGAUACAUGUUUGGAGCAAAAAAUAAAGUGAAGCUCUAACAGUAAUUUGUUAAAGAUGAAAAGGAGAACUCUUCUCUGUUAUUUUAGUUUAAAAUUACAUAAAGAUCUAUAUAUUUUUCGUACAAAUCUAUGGUCCAUAUUAUAUUCAGGGACGGAGCUAGAGCUUCGAUAAAGGUUUCGGUCGAACCCAGUAACUUUAGUUCAAAUCAUAUAUUUGUCUUAAGAAAUUCAUUGAAUAAGUACAAAUUCUUACUUUAGAACUCAGUGACAUAAAAACGUUAGAAUCUUGAACCCAAUAACUUACUCCGCCUCUGAUUAUAUUAUUAUUUACUAAGAACGCAUGACAGUUGCAUGCAUAUACUAUUAUUUCAAGAAAUCUUCAAUGUACGUAGUUGUACAAAUGACAGGGACUAAUAAGGGGCGGAAGCAGAAUGUGGGAUGCGAUUUCGGCCGAACCCAGUAAUUUUUAUUCAAAUCAUGUAUUUAUUUUGAGAAAUUCAUUAAAUAUGUUCAACUUAUUAAUCUAGAACCCAGUAACUUAAAAGUAUUACAAUUCCGAACCCAUAAGGUUCAAAUCUUGAUUACGACUAUGGAACUAAUUCUGUCC
rnacentral:lncRNA from 1 species